rnacentral:rRNA from 1 species
AUGCCACACACUUUAGGAACUGUAAGCGCAUCAUCACACAAGAAAGAUCAGUCGUCAAGCGACGCUAAUCUUGGUCAGAUCCAACAAACACCAGUCCAUGGCACCUCUUCAGCUACCAACAAAGACUUCCCAUGGGACGACCCUGAUAUGGUAGCGCAGUUGAUCGAGUCUACCGAUAGGAUUGAGGAAGAGUGGUUUUCACAACAAAGACAAACUCAGUAUACCACAUCAGUUACACAAGACAUCCACAUAUCAGAGAUCAAGCCCAAUGAGAUUUGUUGCAACUUCACCUCAAAUCCAGUCGAAAGUGCUGUUUUCAGCGACAUUGUGUCACGAAUACCACCCCAUUCAAGGCAAAAGAGCCCAAGAAUAGUACAAAUGGGCUCGACAUGGGUUGAACAUAGGGUUUUUGGCCUGAGCAUGCAAGUGUAUGGCCGGGUCAAUAAGUACGUGAUCAAUAUGUUGGGAAAAGCAGUAAUGGCCGAGCAAACCGAAAAGGAUAGGCUCAAUCUUCUCCCGCGAAGUUACUGGUCAAGAUACUAUGUCGAAUGCGACACUGCUAAAUUAUUCCAAAAGGCAUUUGAAACUCCAUUGGCGUUAUCUGUUCACCUGAGGGAGACAAUGAUAGGAUUCCAUCUUGACCGAAUUCACAUGGUGUUUUUACCUUUAAGCUCAUACAGUUUCUGGUACACGGUUGUUGCUAACUUUAGGAAGAAAUUGUUCGAAGUCCUCUGCCCAAACAACAGAAUCGACUUGAUUGCUGACGAAGCUCAGCUUGUAAUCAAGAAUUUCAAAGCGGCUUUCAAGCUGGCAUACAAGAGAUCACAACUAAAUGUGACUGACAUGGGUGUGUCUUUCCGGAGUGUGUGCUCUUCAACUAAAGAGGCAGAUAGUGGGAUCUUCACAAUGAAGUUGGUACAAGGACAUGAUGGAGACAACACUUUGUGUUUUGAACCCGAGCAUGCAAAGAGCCUGCGCGAGAGUCUAACUUACUACAUGGUUGCUCACCCUUGCAACGAAAAACUGAUGCCAGAAACCAAAGAAAUCUUAAGAAAAUAUGGUGUUCCAUUUGACUACUCGACUCCAGGGUAUUCUCCAUGGGGUCCUGUUGCAGAACAAUGUUAA